AAGGAUUUAAGUUAAAGAAACUAUUAGCCUUCAAAGCUGAAAAUAAAUUCAUAUUUAAGCCUUA
rnacentral:tRNA from 1 species